AAUACGGAGGGUGCGAGCGUUGUCCGGAAUCACUGGGCGUAAAGGGCGCGUAGGUGGUGCGAUAAGUGUGUGGUGAAAGCCCGGGGCUCAACCCCGGGUCUGCCGUGCAAACUGUCGGACUCGAGGACUGUAGAGGCAGGUGGAAUUCCGGGUGUAGCGGUGGAAUGCGUAGAGAUCCGGAAGAAGACCGGUGGCGAAGGCGACCUGCUGGGCAGUUACUGACACUGAGGCGCGACAGCGUGGGGAGCAAACAGGA
rnacentral:rRNA from 1 species